GGCGAACGCUGGCGGCGUGCUUAACACAUGCAAGUCGAACGGUAAGGCCCUUCGGGGUACACGAGUGGCGAACGGGUGAGUAACACGUGGGUGAUCUGCCCUGCACUUCGGGAUAAGCCUGGGAAACUGGGUCUAAUACCGGAUAGGACCCUGGGAUGCAUGUCCCGGGGUGGAAAGCUUUUGCGGUGUGGGAUGGGCCCGCGGCCUAUCAGCUUGUUGGUGGGGUGAUGGCCUACCAAGGCGACGACGGGUAGCCGGCCUGAGAGGGUGACCGGCCACACUGGGACUGAGAUACGGCCCAGACUCCUACGGGAGGCAGCAGUGGGGAAUAUUGCACAAUGGGCGCAAGCCUGAUGCAGCGACGCCGCGUGAGGGAUAACGGCCUUCGGGUUGUAAACCUCUUUCAGCACCGACGAAGCGCAAGUGACGGUAGGUGCAGAAGAAGGACCGGCCAACUACGUGCCAGCAGCCGCCGUAA
rnacentral:rRNA from 1 species